rnacentral:rRNA from 1 species
GAUGAACGCUGGCGGCGUGCCUAAUACAUGCAAGUCGAGCGAACAGAUGAGGAGCUUGCUCCUCUGACGUUAGCGGCGGACGGGUGAGUAACACGUGUAUAACCUACCUAUAAGACUGGGAUAACCUCGGGAAACCGGAGCUAAUACCGUAUAAUAUAUUGAACCGCAUGGUUCAAUAGUGAAAGACGGUUUUGCUGUCACUUAUAGAUGGAUCCGGGCGGCAUUAGCUAGUUGGUAAGGUAACGGCUUACCAAGGCAACGAUGCGUAGCCGACCUGAGAGGGUGAUCGGCGACCCUGGAGCUGAGACGCGGUCAAGACUACUACGGGAGGCAGCAGUAGGGAAUCUUCGGCAAUGGGCGAAAGCAUGACGGAGCGAGGCCGCGUGAGUGAUGAAGGUCUUCGGAUCGUAAAACUCUGUUAUUAGGGAAGAACAAAUGUGUAAGUAACUAUGCACGUAUUGACGGUACCUAAUCAGAAAGCAACGGCUAACUACGUG